CACUGAUUCAGUGGUUGGUUUUAUACAGUGGUUUUAUAUGGUUUUAUAUCGAGGUUGUUCAGUAAAUUCAAUAAAGUAAAAACUUAUUUCAAAAGGUAAGUAUUCAAUCAACAAAGUAAAAAUAAAAACGUUUGUAUAAAUUUAACAAUAUAAUAAAAUCGUGAGACCCCUAAUUUGGCAACUAUGUUGAUUCAUUCACGGUCAUUUGAGUAUUUGACAAGCUUUUCUUGACACCCUUUGGCUCGAGGUAUUUUUGGUACAAAGUGGUCACUGGUCACCAGUAUGUCGCUAUCCAGUUGGUAAAUACAGCAGGCUUGAAUCUAGCUGACACAUUUUGGUGGGAAGUGAACCCAACAUUAAACAUUUCAUGGUUUUUAGUGCACAAACUUGCAUUAGGCAAAUAUUAAGUCUAAGGCGUAAAAAAAAAUACCUGUGGUUCCGGUUUCAUAUCGUGAAAAAAUUAGGGUCGGUAGGUCGGAAAUAAAUUUUUUUUUUUAAUAUUUUUUUCAUGGUUUUGGCGGUUUUCUGCUGGGCGAUUUGCAGUAGAGUCCCGACAUCAAUAUUAACUAGAGAUGCGUAUUUCCUAUGGACGAAUUUAGGCAAUUUGGUUCAAUAAUUAGUGUGACAACAGACGCCAUUUUGGCACGCUGUAUGAGCAGCCCGCAACCACCUGGAGAAAAUAGGGUCGCACGGUCAAUCGCGUUGAAAAAAAAAUAGGGUCGGCAGAAAAAAAAUAGGGUCGGUUGGGAACCGGAACCACAGGUAUUUUUUUUUUAUGCCUAAUACACAGUGCAUUAAGCACUAGUCAAUUGAAACCCCAACCCCUGGGACAGAGCGGGGAAUUAACGGGGACAGGGCCGUGGAUUAAUGCGUAUUUAAUGUAGCCUUUCCCCUCCAGGUGAUCUCGUGUUCGUAUUUUAGCCAAUCAGCGUUCAGAAAGGGUUGUCCGAAUAGAAAUCCAUUUUGAUGUACUCAGUCAAUUAUAUCUUUCGUUAUUCUUUAUGAAACUAGUUGAAAUUUUGUAAUUAUGUUUGCUCAUGAGAACUAUAGCUCUGACAAAAAUAUGGAAUCAAAAUAAAGUAUAUUACAGGAGAUAUUCAGUUGUUUUAAUCAUAAAAUGGAUUUCUAUUUGACAACUAAUGCCAGUACUUUUCCGCGUAUCAAGAUCAUCUGGCUGGGAUACAGGGUAAAUAACGAAUCUAUAAUUCAAGAGGAUUAUGUAACCAGGACUUUAACGCUCAGCUGGAACAAAAGUGGACUGAAAUGAGUUUAUCCUCAUUGGGAACAUGGCGAUACUGUAUCAUUGAUAAAGUUUGAGACACUGUAUCUUAGGCCAUGUAAAAAAAUAUCCCGGUUUAGGCGUAAAAAAAUACCUGUGGUUCUGGUCCCUGACCGACCCUAUUUUUUUCUGCCGACCCUACUAUUUUUUCAACGUGAUUGACCGUGCGACCCUAUUUUCUCUGGGUGGUUGCGGGCUGCUGCCAAAAUGGCGUCUGUUGUCACACUAAUUGGAUCAUUCCAGAAAACAUCCAUACCACCCCCACAGAGGAAAUUGGAUGUUAACACCCCUACCCCCUUUGGAUGUCCUAAUACAUUUCCUCUUAUCAGAAACAAUUUUUUCUCCCCUCCCCCUCCGGACGGCAGAAAUUUCCUCCGUGGGGGGAAUGUGGAUCUUUUCUGGAAUGACCCAUUAUUGAAAAAACCAUGACCUAACGACCCUAAUUUUUUCGCGAUAUGAAACCGGAACCACAGGUAUUUUUUUACGCCUUAUCAUCAGUGGCAGGAGAAAAAACCAAUGCGGACAGGCAAAUUUUUUUAAAAAUUUUUACCAAAUUUAGUAGGUGCACGGAAAAAAUAUGCUCAAACAUGCAGCACAGUUGUAUGGUAUAAUACUUUCAAUGCUAUUACACUUUUCAUUAAUAUUACAAUUGCCAAGGCCCAAGUAAGCACAAUAUCAUGACACAUUGUCAAUAUGAAAUCCUGUUUUGAAAAUGGCCGACCAUUGUGAAAAUCUCACAUGGGUUCCUUGCAUGGUCCGCCAGAAAUAGUGAUUUUUUAAAAAUGAAAAAUAAAAAUUCCAUGUGGCACGGAAAAUGGAUGCGGGCGCUGAUGAUAAACCUGGAUAUUUUUUUUACAUGGCCUUAAUUCAUCACAACGAAAGAUAUGGUGCCCUGUACGUUUAACCAUAAUUAUUUGCAGUAUAAACAUGUUUUGUACAAUUACCAGAAAAUAUAUAGGGCUUUUAUUUGAGCUAAAUUAAUUAUUUUAAGUAAACUGAUUUCAGGUCACCAUUUUUCUUGGCAUCAUGCCAGUGCUUUGCUUUUAUAUAGUCCUUUUUACAUGCAUGUAAUGAUGUAUGCUAUAUAUAUAUAUAUAUAUAUAUAUAUAUAUAUAUAUAUAUAUAUAUAUAUAUAUAUAUAUAUAUAUAUAUAUAUAUAUAUAUAUAUAUAGCGGUUUUUGAGUUGUUUUCAGAUGAGUGUAUGCCAAACCGGGCAAGCAGCAUCCCAGCCGCGGUCAAGUAGAAUUUUCUGCUUGCCCGGUUUGGCAUACACUCGUCUGAAAACAACUCAAAAACCGCUACAUAACAUUACACGAGUGGAAUCGUAAACGUGGGAAACCACAAUAUAUAUAAUAUAUAAUUUUAUCUUGAUUUUCUUAACAUCGAUACAGCACAAAAUUAAACACAACAGAUUAUAUUUCUUUCAAACCUUUGUAUGCCCCGAAGGAAAUCUUCAUUCUUGAAGAAAUCUCUGAAUUUAAAAUUAUUGUGUUGUUUAAUGCAUGCAUGCUAAUUAUCAAUUAACCAAUGAAAUACCUUCAUUUGUCAUAUAUUAUUCAAAUAAAGCACUGUCCAAUCAGAGGCCUUUCCACAAAUCUGGGAAAAAUCCACGUUACCAGAACAAGGAAUCUUCAUCCAACUCACAGACGUUCUCUCGCGCGCUUCGUCGAGAGUAACGUCUGUACACAGGCUACCAUUAGUAUAAUUAUAUAGAAAACAUUUGUUAAUGGUAAAUUUAGCUAAAUACAGCUCAUCCCCACCCUCUCACACCCCUGGAGUCAUACAAUCCUCAUUAUGCUCGACCCAAAUAUUCUAUUACCGUUUUGCUAAGGUUGUAUUUGGGUACCGGUAGAUGUUUUAGUCAUGUGUUACAUGAGAAAAUUAUUGUUGACGAAACUUACUUGUUCUUGACUUGUAUGUUUAAUUUUUUUGCAGCAAUUCUGCCUACAUUUCUAUGUGAAGUAUGGUAAAGAUGAAAGCUAUGUUGUCCCUAACAUUUCAUGGAUGUUGUGCAGUCUUUCAUUUGUACGUUCUACACUGGUUAAUGUUCACAAUUGGUCUUAAAAUUUUGGAAAUGGCAAGUUUUUUCACUGUCUGGACCACUGUGUUUCAUCUAGUAAUGUUCCUCGCCUUAGUAGCUCAUGAUGUUGGAAAAAUAUUUGAUAACCAGGCAACAAAACAUGGGGACAGUUCCACGAGGAUGUUACAUAUUGUUCUAAAUAAUGAAGGUUUUCUUGGAUUAUUUAUUCAUUUAGCCAUCGUGAUGAGCUCAUUUACUCAAUUUGCAUUUUGGUUAUUGUUUUAUAUUGAUCGUGAAAUGAUUCUCCCAGAGACAGCGGGCAUGCCAUCAUCUCUCAACCAUAUGCUACAUACAUUUCCAUUAUUUUUAGCCUUGGUUGCGGCUAAUGUUUUCGCCAGUAACUUUCCAAAUGCAAAAGAAGAAAGAAAUUGUAAAACCAUUGCCCAUACUGGUAUUAAGUUUGUUGGUUUUGUUGCUUUUGUAUAUUUGACUUUCAUAUGGAUUGUGUUUGAAUUGAAAGGUGUAUGGCCAUAUCCUUUCAUGUUCUCAUUUAGCAGAUUAGAUUAUUUUAUUUUUAGUUUAUGUUCUUUCCUUGUUUCUUUCAUCUUGUGCUAUUUAUGUUCUUUUCUUGAAACAAAAAUUAAAAAUGUUACAAUUUUGUAACCAAAACGUUUAUGCCUUUUGUGCACAGUACACAGUGUGUGUAUAUUUUAUAUAAACCGACAUAGAAUAUUCUUUCAGCACGUGUUUGCCUCUUCAGGUUAUAUACAUUUAUAUAUGCUAUCUAGUUUAUGCUGCAUGUACACGAUGUGCUGUUUGUUUCGAGAAAAAGGGAAAUACAUUGCUUCGGUAUCGUCUCUUUUUUAAAAAUCUCACAGCAAUAUCCAGUGCCAACUAUAUUAGCUUCUGAUUUACUGAGCGUGCAUCGC